GUGUCAGCCGCCGCGGUAAGACGAACCGAGCGAACGUUGUUCGGAAUCACUGGGCUUAAAGGGCGCGUAGGCGGGCUGCCGCGUCCGGGGUGAAAUCCUCCGGCUCAACCGGAGAACGGCCCCGGGUACGGGCGGCCUCGAGGGGGGUAGGGGCGGGCGGAACUGUGGGUGGAGCGGUGAAAUGCGUUGAGAUCCACAGGAACUCCGGUGGCGAAGGCGGCCCGCUGGACCCCAUCUGACGCUGAGGCGCGAAAGCCAGGGGAGCGAACGGGAUUAGAUACCCCGGUAGUCC
rnacentral:rRNA from 1 species